UCAAAACAGCGGCCUUCGGGCCUCGCUACACCCUUGUCUUUUGCGCACCGUAUUGUUUCCUCGGCGGGCUUGCCUGCCGGUUGGACAUCAUAAAACCUUUUUGUAGUUGCAAUCAGCGUCAGAAAAACAAUAAUUAUUA
rnacentral:misc_RNA from 1 species